rnacentral:tRNA from 1 species
GCCCGCAUAGCUCAGUCGGUAGAGCAUUAGACUUCAAUCUGAUUGUCGAAGAUUCAAUUCCUUCUGUGGGCG